GACGAACGCUGGCGGCGUGCUUAACACAUGCAAGUCGAGCGGAAGGGCCCUGCUUGCGUGGGGUGCUCGAGGGGCGAACGGGUGUGAAACACGUGAGUAACCCGCCCUUGACUGUGGGAUAACUUCAGGAAACUGGGGCUAAUACAGGCGACGAGAUCGUGAUGCAUGGUGGUGGUUGGAAAGUUUCGGAGGUGGGGGAUGGACUCGCGGCUUACCAGCUUGUUGGUUGGGGAUUUGCUAACGAAGGCAUUGGCAGCUAGCCGGCCUGAGAGGGUGGUCGGCCACAUUGGUCCUACGGGACGGCCCAGACUGCAACGGGAGGCAGCAGGGGAGAAUAUUACCCAGCGGGGCGGAGUCUGAGGCAGCAACGCCGCGUGCGUGAUGACCGUCUUCGGGUUGUAAACCGCUUUCGCCUGAAACGAAGCUGGAUUGACGGUAAUGGAUAAAGAAGCACCGGCUAACUACGUG
rnacentral:rRNA from 1 species